CGCCGUGGGCAUGGCAUUGGGAUUGUAGUCUGGUUAUGGGGCAUGAUGGGAGUUAUGGGUAAUCCAUACAAGGCAUGCUGGGAGUUGUAGUCCAUAUGGGCAUUGAUGGGAUGUUGUGCUCUGUUAUUGGGGCACGAUGGGAGUUGUAGUCUGCCGUGGGGCAUGAUGGGAGUUGUAGUCCAUAUAGGGCAUGAUGGGAGUUGUGCUCUGUUAUGGGGCAUGAUGGGGGUUGUAGUCCAUACAAGGCAUGAUGGGAGUUGUAGUCCCAUUAAGGCGAUAUGGGAGUUAUAUUGUGCUGCAGCGGGCAACCCUAUGGGGGUCCUAUGGGAUCCUGAUGGGUCCUAAGGGGUCCUGGGUGCAUUCCAAGGGGUCCUAUGGGGAUCCUCUGGGGGGUCCUGAUGGGUCCUAAGGGGGUCCAAGGUUCUCCUAAGGGGUCCUAUGGGCGUUCCUCGUGGGUCCUAAGGGGGCUCCUGGUUCUCCUAUGGGUGGUCCUAUGGGGUCCUGUGGGGUCCUAAGGGGGUCCUGGGUUCUCCUAAGGGGGUCCUGGUUGCUCCUAAGGGGGUCCUAUGGGUGUCCUGGGGAGUCCUAAUGGCUCCUAAGGGGGUCCUGGGGGUCCUAAUGGGUUCUAGGGUGGUCCUAAUGGGUCCUAUGGGGGUCCUGGGGGUCCUUAAGGGGUCCGACCUCGUGUGUCCACUAGGGUGGGUGGAGGGGGGGAGGUAAUAUGUCCUGAGGGGUCCUUGCUGUGCGGGGUCCGGUGGG
rnacentral:lncRNA from 1 species